CUGAGAGGAUGACCAGCCACACUGGAACUGAGACACGGUCCAGACUCCUACGGGAGGCAGCAGUGGGGAAUAUUGCACAAUGGGCGCAAGCCUGAUGCAGCCAUGCCGCGUGUAUGAAGAAGGCCUUCGGGUUGUAAAGUACUUUCAGCGGGGAGGAAGGGAGUAAAGUUAAUACCUUUGCUCAUUGACGUUACCCGCAGAAGAAGCACCGGCUAACUCCGUGCCAGCAGCCGCGGUAAUACGGAGGGUGCAAGCGUUAAUCGGAAUUACUGGGCGUAAAGCGCACGCAGGCGGUUUGUUAAGUCAGAUGUGAAAUCCCCGGGCUCAACCUGGG
rnacentral:rRNA from 1 species